rnacentral:rRNA from 1 species
CAGCAGCCGCGGUAAUACGUAGGUCCCGAGCGUUGUCCGGAUUUAUUGGGCGUAAAGCGAGCGCAGGCGGUUAGAUAAGUCUGAAGUUAAAGGCUGUGGCUUAACCAUAGUACGCUUUGGAAACUGUUUAACUUGAGUGCAAGAGGGGAGAGUGGAAUUCCAUGUGUAGCGGUGAAACGCGUAGAUAUAUGGAGGAACACCGGUGGCGAGAGCGGCUCUCUGGCUUGUAACUGACGCUGAGGCUCGAAAGCGUGGGGAGCAAACAGGAUUAGAUACCCCUGUAGUCCCUGUCUCUUAUACA